GAAUCCUGAAUUCGAAAGGGUUGGAUUCAGGUCAUUCUGUUAAUGCAGGCCGUCUUGCCCCGCCAGAUGGCGCCGGUCGCCCGCGGUGAUUCACUUCGCUUGCGGUGUCGUUCCCGGCGAUCACUCGGUGGGGUGGCGGACGCUGUGUGCAGUCGGCCGCACUUCCCCCUAGUAGAAACGUCGCGACCCGUUGGGUGCCGGUCUAAGGCCCGGGAUGGCAGACCGUGUGUCCUGUGGGGGAUCCCACAGGCGUGCGGACACCUGGUGACCCGGCCGGCUGCCCGACGGUAUGACCAGAGGAGCCGAUCCGCUGAAUGGGAAACACUAUGGUUGUGAAGCGUCCGGCCCGUCGUCGAUGCGUGCAGGGAUUGAGGUGAAAACCGGGGGUGUCCGUGCGAUGUACGGUCCCGGCCCUGUUGCGUACUCGGUCUUCGGUGUCCUCGGACUGGAUCGAUACUCCCGUCUGCGACGCCCACAUUCGGAUGGUCUCCCG
rnacentral:rRNA from 1 species